UUUUGCCGUCCGUCUUCUUAAUGAGGGAACGUUCAUAAAUUAUGUCACGUAACAAAUUCCGAUUGUUCAGAUACACCCUCAUAAAGCAUGUGGCCCAAAUCGACCUUAUCACGCUAAAAUUCUACUCGCCAUCUCAUCUUAGCCGUGACAUAAUUUAUGGACGUCCCCUCAGUAAAUAUUAUGCAAUUGUGUACGACCGGUUUUGCAGUCAUAAUUUUCCGUCGCAGUAAAUAAUCGUACUCUUAUUUAUUUAGUAUCUACAGUUGUGUUUCUGGAGAAGAUUUGGAAGGGUAAACAUUCCUUUACAGACGCAACAAGAGUACGAUUUUUCGCCAUGUUCGCGCAGGUGGUGGUCGAUCCGGAGGAGGGUGUUGCGGAAAACGCCCGGGCAAAAUUGGCAAACGCACUCUGAAUUUGCAGUCUGCAAAAAUUUAAAAAAAAAUUGGGAUUCGCAACUCUCCAAAUGGGUCACCCAAACAGCUUCCGAGUCAAUCUUGGUCUCACAUUCAUACGGACAGGACGUCUUGUCCGAAAAAUGGACCAAUUCCACGUGCUCAGGCAUGCUUGCCUUCCUGACGAAAGUCUUGGAGCACAUGUCACAAGGAAAUCGUGUCAUUUGCAAACGCGGUCUGGGCGGCAUUGGGGCAUUGUGAAAUUCCUUCAUAUCGCUUUUAAGCGAUAUCGAUUUUAAGCGAUUUGAAAAUUCAAAGCAUCCUCGCGACUAAACACGCUCAGACAUAAGGUGCAAUUCCUCUUAAUCCCGCCAUUUCGGCUAUGAAUGUGGUCGAUUAAGGCGGCCAAAGUCGUGAAACGCUCAUCGCAUUCCAGACAACAAGCAGCUUUCGGAUUUUGAGCUUCACAUCUGUAAAAAAUAGAGAUUUUGAGGUUUAUAUCUGCAUACAGAAUUAAGAUUUUUUGUAAAAACACUAAAACAGUAGGGGAGGAUUUGAUAAGACACGGUAUGUGCGCAUCACAAUUAGCCUUGAAGAUCGCGAAAUAUAGAUUUUCACUCACCGCUCUCCCGCCUUUUUGGAAGCUAUGAAAAAAUUCUUUGAUAUACAUAUAUAGUGUGCUCAAUAAUUUCGAGAAUUUUUUCCCGCGUUCAUAUUACGAUAACCAGUUACUUAAGAUAAAAAUUAAGUUGGAUUCAAACUAGAAAGGUACAUAAGUUUAUGGCUAACAACAUACUAUAUAUGAGAAAUUUUUGGCAGGUUGUGUAGUUUUCGCGAUAUCGGCAUAGACAACCUGACGUGGCACAAAAAUUUUCACCUUUACUACCUGGUUUUCAAUAUUUCAGAACUCAAAGGAAUUAUACGAUCAACAGUGUAUGACAUCAUGAAAUAUUACCCUGAGGUAUCCUCCCUUACUGGCAGAAAAUGAUCCGGCCAAUCUCCCACAGGAAGGCAUAAACCACAAUGAAAGCACUAAACAUGCGAAUUUUUAGAAAUUCUCGCCGAUCUCAAAAGAGUUCGAAACUACAAUUGCAGGUUUCGCACGAGAUUGUUCAAAUGCCACUUUUAGAAGACCUUAGGGUUCCCCCAAUAGGUCGAUCCAUAUACUAUAUUUUGACACGUCAGUUGGAGAAGAAUAAAGUAAUCGGAUUCCGAGUACUUAUCCAGAGGCACGGUAGGAAAAAUUACAAAAAUAUCAUCUUAAGGAAUCCUUUAGCAAAGAGGGUUAUUUACCAGACCAGACUAGUUAGAUAACUUAAUUAAGAGCGUAUAUUUAUGUAAAUACGUUGUGUUGAAAAAGAAAAAUAUAUUGUUUGUGUAUUAGGAUUAUGACCUGUUGCUGAAUAGUAGAAGGUUCAUAAUACUAUGAACCAAACACAUUUAGAUUCAUACUAAUCCGUAUUCACGACAAAUCCAAAAAAUUAAACGAAGGUUUAUGAAAUUUGGUAAAUUUAAUCGCAAAACUUUUAAUUCGACAAGUGGAUAAUUCGUUUUUUACCAAUAUCUACUAAUCACAAGCACAACCUUAACUCUUGUGUUCUGGCUUUGUACUUUUUUUCGUAAGUUUAUCCUGCGUUCCCAAAAAACAUGGGGAAGAGUAAAAUCGGCACCCAUUAUUAAAUUAAGGUGCAAACAUUAAAAGAGGUGACUAUUCUUUCCUGCUGGUCAAACAAAAUCCCUCCUCCUGGAACUCGUUCGGGUUCAUGUGAUCGUAAAGUUACGGAUUAUUUCUCAACUUACAUAUGUACAUGUAAAGCCCAUUUAAUCGUUAAUUUAACGUCACAUGAUCGCCUUACGAGCUCACUGAGGAGGGAUGAUAGGUGACAAGUAGGCGUGAAUUAGCCUCUUCUAUUAAUGUUCGUACAAUACUUAGACCAUAAUUAUCAAAGGACUCCGUUGAUUAUACUAGAUUUUAUAAUUACAAAGGAUUGUAUUUGAUUAAAAUUUUCAUGAUUUUCUAUAAAAGAAAUUAUUUUUCAACCAGUUUCAUCUCAUUGGAAACGAGCUAACAAGCUGAUCAGAGUUAGCUUUAGGCUUUUAAUUACAAUUAUUUGGUAUUUAUUUACAUAAUCAAGGGCAGGCUACAUAUGUACUAUGAAGGUACACACAUAGAUUAGUUGAAUAUGAUAGCAUAUGAAUAUAUGCUUAGGUCACGUGUUCCGUUAGCUUUGGAGUAUAUGUAACAACAAUUGCAAUGCUUAUAUCUUAUAUCGAAAAGAGGAAUAACGAGUUGCGGAAGUAUGAAAGUGAACAGGUAUGUAAACUGUACGACGUUAGCGUCUUUGGUUCUAAAUUAUGAAAAUAUGCAUGUUUGCAACUGUAAAAUCUUCCUAAGUUCGUGAAUUCUGCAUAAGUGCUAAGAUAAAACACUAACCUUGGAUAUAACAAAGUUCAUUGUUUUUGUAGUGCCGGUUUUUGGGAAGAUCGUAAAGAAAAUUGCAUGACAUGCAUGGUUAUAAUAUCGAAAAUAAUAUUUAAUAAAACAGCAUUUCCCACCAAAUUUAA